rnacentral:rRNA from 1 species
CAGUAGCCGCGGGAAAACGAAGGGUGCAAGCGUUACUCGGAAUUACUGGGCGUAGAGCGUGCGUAGGUGGUGGUUUAAGUCCGUUGUGAAAGCCCUGGGCUCAACCUGGGAAUUGCAGUGGAUACUGGGUCACUAGAGUGUGGUAGAGGAUAGUGGAAUUUCCGGUGUAGCAGUGAAAUGCGUAGAGAUCGGAAGGAACAUCUGUGGCGAAGGCGACUAUCUGGGCCAACACUGACACUGAGGCACGAAAGCGUGGGGAGCAAACAGGAUUAGAUACCCCUGUAGUCCCUGUCUCUUAUAC